CCGCUCCUUGCAUUAGGUAGUUCUUGUGAGCGAGACGUCAUCAGUUGAUCUAUCUUGUCUCUCAAACCACUGUUGAGAAAGAUUGAAACACUUUUUCUGUUAAGAAGUUGGCGAAUAUCAUGAUUCUCUAGGAAGGGAUCAAGCAUCUCUUGGUAUCUUUCUUGCCUAAGACCUUCCCACUCUUCACGUGGACGAGAAACAUCAUUUAUCCAGUCUUGGUUGGAUUCUAAUUGCUGCUGGUAGUUAGACUGUAGUUCAUCCCAUCCACUUGGCGUGUGCGAAUAAUCACUUACCCAGCCACAAUCACUGUCCACUAGAUUUUGG
rnacentral:misc_RNA from 1 species